CCUACGGGAGGCUGCAGUGAGGAAUAUUGGUCAAUGGGCGCAAGCCUGAACCAGCCAAGUCGCGUGAAGGAAGACGGCCCUACGGGUUGUAAACCUCUUUUGCCAGGGAGCAAUCGUGAGCACGUGUGCCCAGGCGGAGAGUACCCGGAGAAAAAGCAUCGGCUAACUCCGUGCCAGCAGCCGCGGUAAUACGGAGGAUGCGAGCGUUAUCCGGAUUUAUUGGGUUUAAAGGGUGCGCAGGCGGAGUAUCAAGUCAGCGGUAAAAUCGCGGGGCUCAACCCCGCCCCGCCGUUGAAACUGUGGCUCUUGAGUGGGCGAAGGGUAGGCGGAAUGCGUGGUGUAGCGGUGAAAUGCAUAGAUAUCACGCAGAACUCCGAUUGCGAAGGCAGCCUACCGGCGCGCAACUGACGCUGAUGCACGAAAGCGUGGGUAUCGAACAGGAUUAGAUACCCGAGUAGUC
rnacentral:rRNA from 1 species